rnacentral:sRNA from 1 species
GUCGUCGGCAAAGCCUGAGUCCUGUGCUUUCUCUCUCCCCAGACAGCAUGAACUUCACCACUCGCUCCACCUUCUCCACCAACUACCGGUCCCUGGGCUCUGUCCAGGCGCCCAGCUACGGCGCCCGGCCGGUCAGCAGCGCUGCCAGCGUCUAUGCAGGCGCUGGGGGCUCUGGUUCCCGGAUCUCCGUGUCCCGCUCCACCAGCUUCAGGGGCGGCAUGGGGUCCGGGGGCCUGGCCACGGGGAUAGCCGGGGGUCUGGCAGGAAUGGGAGGCAUCCAGAACGAGAAGGAGACCAUGCAAAGCCUGAACGACCGCCUGGCCUCUUAUCUGGACAGAGUGAGGAGCCUGGAGACCGAGAACCGGAGGCUGGAGAGCAAAAUCCGGGAGCACUUGGAGAAGAAGGGACCCCAGGUCAGAGACUGGAGCCAUUACUUCAAGAUCAUCGAGGACCUGAGGGCUCAGAUCUUCGCAAAUACUGUGGACAAUGCCCGCAUCGUUCUGCAGAUUGACAAUGCCCGUCUUGCUGCUGAUGACUUUAGAGUCAAGUAAGUUUGGGGGCUAAAGAGCUGGGGGUCCAGGGGUGGAGCUAAGAAGGAUCUGCUCCCCAGGCAGGGUCAGUUAGGGGCUCACAGUGGGAUCCUGUUAGGUGUGGGUGGGUGAGAGUCAGGGUCCAUCAGUGUAUUCAUUUAACUGUUCAUUUGUAUAACCCCGUUUAAGAAUACUGUCCUCCAAGUGCCAAGAAUGGUGCUCAGGGGAUUACCACCUAAUUGCUGACUCAAGUUGCUGGUUUGCAAUGGGCACAGAACUUCUCUUAGUAGGUGGCAUGAGUUGAGAAGGUUCUGGAUCAGAGAUAGGGGCCCCUCUGAUCACCUCCACUCCUACAGGUAUGAGACAGAGCUGGCCAUGCGCCAGUCUGUGGAGAACGACAUCCACGGGCUCCGCAAGGUCAUUGAUGACACCAAUGUCACUCGACUGCAGCUGGAGACAGAGAUCGAGGCUCUCAAGGAGGAGCUGCUCUUUAUGAAGAAGAACCACGAAGAGGAAGUAAAAGGCCUUCAAGCCCAGAUUGCCAGCUCUGGGUUGACCGUGGAGGUAGAUGCCCCCAAAUCUCAGGACCUCGCCAAGAUCAUGGCAGACAUCCGGGCCCAAUAUGACGAGCUGGCUCGGAAGAACCGAGAGGAGCUAGACAAGUACUGGUCUCAGCAGAUUGAGGAGAGCACCACAGUGGUCACCACACAGUCUGCCGAGGUUGGAGCUGCUGAGACGACGCUCACAGAGCUGAGACGUACAGUCCAGUCCUUGGAGAUCGACCUGGACUCCAUGAGAAAUCUGAAGGCCAGCUUGGAGAACAGCCUGAGGGAGGUGGAGGCCCGCUACGCCCUACAGAUGGAGCAGCUCAACGGGAUCCUGCUGCACCUUGAGUCAGAGCUGGCACAGACCCGGGCAGAGGGACAGCGCCAGGCCCAGGAGUAUGAGGCCCUGCUGAACAUCAAGGUCAAGCUGGAGGCUGAGAUCGCCACCUACCGCCGCCUGCUGGAAGAUGGCGAAGACUUUAAGUGAGUGGGGCUCUCCUACCCACACGUGCUGGGAUCAGGAGAUCACUUCUCCCCAAAGUCUGAGCUUUUGGAAGCACCCCAUGUGUCUGUUCAUUGGUAUCCACUGAGCACUGGGACAUUGCUCCGUGGGUGCUCCUGUGUCUUCAAGGGAGUAACAGUUACAGAGGUUUCCCCCUUGAAGAAAGCAAACUAAGUAUUGUCCCUAGCUGUACUUAGUAUGCAAAUGAAGUUUGGCCUUGGGUUUCCCUUUUCUGGAGGAAGAGGCUGAGGGAGAUUUGGAGAUAAAGGUAGAGGUCAGGAGGCUUUUUCCCUCUACCUUUCUUGUCUCCCUUCUACUCCACGGGGCUGUUUAUAACUUGGGCUUGGUCUUCUGUUACAGUCUUGGUGAUGCCUUGGACAGCAGCAACUCCAUGCAAACCAUCCAAAAGACCACCACCCGCCGGAUAGUGGAUGGCAAAGUGGUGUCUGAGACCAAUGACACCAAAGUUCUGAGGCAUUAAGCCAGCAGAAGCAGGGUGCCCUUUGGGGAG